rnacentral:misc_RNA from 1 species
CAGUGAUGGCAGCGUUCACAAGGGUAGUGUACCAAUUUUCGAAAAUUUGGAAAAAUUUUUUAUAGAAGUGUACCACUUGACCGAUUUUUUAAUUAAACCCGGAUUAUUUGCAACCAAGCAUUUAAUUUUGACCUAAUAAUUUUAGGUAUUAUAAUUGUUGACGUCCGUAACGCCAGAACUGCAAGAUAACCUUUUAUUAAGCUCAUGCGCCACCCAUAGCAUGGCACGCUUCCCUAAAUACCUUUAAAAGGGGAUUUGAAACACUGGUUUAGAUCAAUGGCUGCGACUGGUUCAUAUUUGACAUCAUAUGAUUGUCGACGUCCACAAUUAAAUGCUUUUACACAGGAAAGAAAAUAGAAUUGUAAAGUUUAAUUUUGUCAUUAAAAAAUUUGUUCGCUAAAACAGUUUUUCAGCAACAUCUUCUAAUUUAGAUCAUAUCUGUGUUCCUUAAAAUCAUACACGCCUCACUAAUAUCAUCUGUAAAUUUGUUCUUUUAGAUUUUGGUUGGCCGAUUUUUUUUUAAAAACAAAGUUUGAAAAUAGAAUGUGUACCAGCCAAAAUCGUCAAGUGUACCAGUAGUGGUACACUGUACCACAGUUUGCCAUCACUGAGCUAGAG